CCUACGGGAGGCAGCAGUGAGGAAUAUUGGUCAAUGGGCGGAAGCCUGAACCAGCCAAGUAGCGUGCGGGAUGAAGGCCCUACGGGUCGUAAACCGCUUUUGCACGGGGAUAACACCCUCCACUUGUGGCGGUCUGCAGGUACCGUUCGAAUAAGGGCCGGCUAAUUCCGUGCCAGCAGCCGCGGUAAUACGGAAGGCCCGAGCGUUAUCCGGAUUCAUUGGGCUUAAAGGGAGCGUAGGCGGGCGUUCAAGUCAGCGGUAAAAUCGCGCGGCUCAACCGCUCCCCGCAGUUGAAACUGGAAGUCUUGAGUGCACAACAGGCAGGCGGAAUUCGUGGUGUAGCGGUGAAAUGCAUAGAUAUCACGAGGAACCCCGAUUGCGAAGGCAGCCGGCCGGGGUGCGACUGACGCUGAGGCUCGAAGGUGUGGGUAUCAAACAGGAUUAGAUACCCUGGUAGUC
rnacentral:rRNA from 1 species